rnacentral:rRNA from 1 species
AGAGUUUGAUUAGGGCUCAGAUUGAACGCUGGCGGCAGGCUUAACACAUGCAAGUCGAGCGGCAGCGGAAAGAAGCUUGCUUCUUUGCCGGCGAGCGGCGGACGGGUGAGUAAUGUCUGGGGAUCUGCCCGAUGGAGGGGGAUAACUACUGGAAACGGUAGCUAAUACCGCAUAAUGUCGCAAGACCAAAGUGGGGGACCUUCGGGCCUCACACCAUCGGAUGAACCCAGAUGGGAUUAGCUAGUGGGUGGGGUAAUGGCUCACCUAGGCGACGAUCCCUAGCUGGUCUGAGAGGAUGACCAGCCACACUGGAACUGAGACACGGUCCAGACUCCUACGGGAGGCAGCAGUGGGGAAUAUUGCACAAUAGGGGAAACCCUGAUGCAGCCAUGCCGCGUGUGUGAAGAAGGCCUUCGGGUUGUAAAGCACUUUCAGCGGGGAGGAAGGCAAUGGCGUUAAUAGUGUCAUUGAUUGACGUUACCCGCAGAAGAAGCACCGGCUAACUCCGUGCCAGCAGCCGCGGUAAUACGGAGGGUGCGAGCGUUAAUCGGAAUUACUGGGCGUAAAGCGUACGCAGGCGGUCUGUUAAGUCAGAUGUGAAAUCCCCGGGCUUAACCUGGGAACUGCAUUUGAAACUGGCAGGCUAGAGUCUCGUAGAGGGGGGUAGAAUUCCAGGUGUAGCGGUGAAAUGCGUAGAGAUCUGGAGGAAUACCGGUGGCGAAGGCGGCCCCCUGGACGAAGACUGACGCUCAGGUACGAAAGCGUGGGGAGCAAACAGGAUUAGAUACCCUGGUAGUCCACGCUGUAAACGAUGUCGAUUUGAAGGUUGUGGUCUUGAGCCGUGGCUUUCGGAGCUAACGCGUUAAAUCGACCGCCUGGGGAGUACGGCCG